CCUACGGGGGGCAGCAGUCGAGAAUCAUUCACAAUGGGGGAAACCCUGAUGGUGCGACGCCGCGUGGGGGAAUGAAGGUCUUCGGAUUGUAAACCCCUGUCAUGUGGGAGCAAAUUAAAAAGAUAGUACCACAAGAGGAAGAGACGGCUAACUCUGUGCCAGCAGCCGCGGUAAUACAGAGGUCUCAAGCGUUGUUCGGAAUCACUGGGCGUAAAGCGUGCGUAGGCUGUUUCGUAAGUCGUGUGUGAAAGGCGCGGGCUCAACCCGCGGACGGCCCAUGAUACUGCGAGACCAGAGUAAGGGAGGGGGAACCGGAAGUCUCGGUGUAGCAGUGAAAUGCGUAGAUAUCGAGAGGAACACUCGUGGCGAAGGCGGGUUCCUGGACAUUAACUGACGCUGAGGCACGAAGGCCAGGGGAGCGAAAGGGAGUAGAUACCCUAGUAGUC
rnacentral:rRNA from 1 species